AUGUGGGGCCAAUACUCCAAGGACCUCUAUGUUCUCAACCAGAGGAAGCUGGACGAGCGCUAUGAAACCUUCAGGAAACAGAAAAAGAUCCUGUCCCAGAAGACAACUAUCAAACGACUGUGCCAGCUACUGGUCCCAGAGACCAUUAAUGAAGAGGACACCAGGACCAGCUCUGAGGUCAUACACGCCUUCGAAAUGGCUGUGUCUGGGCUGGACAAAGUCACCCCUGACCCCUCAGUCUGACCCCUUAACCCCCAGGGUUUGACCACUGAACCCUGACUACCCUCAUAUCGGAAAUGCAUUAAAAAAAACAUGCUUCACCUGUAUUGGCUUUGAUUAUAUUUGGCUCUUCGGGGUACACGCUGUCUGUGCAGGAAUGCUGCAAUGAACUACCACAGGCACAAUGUGGCGGUAUAUACAUGGCUACAAAUACCAGUGUCUGAAUGGUGUUGACUCUGAGUAAUCAUUAAAAAGAAAGACUGAAAGAGUGUAAAACAUAAUAUGGAAUAUGGUUUCUGUACAGCACUUUGAGAUAUCAGCUGAUGUACGAAGGGCUAUAUAAAUACAUUUGAUUUGAUUUGAUUUGGAUAGGUUGGGGUUUUGGACAGAGAUCUUGGCUUUAUGAUAGACGAUAUUUAAUUGGCCUCCCAGACGAUACCCCUCAAGGUCACCAGCUUUGCUUUUGGAUAUGAGAACACAGACAGCUCAGUAGAUUGAUUACAGGGUGAUCAACUGAUGACUCAUGGUAAGAAACUGGACAACAACAUGAAUUACUGAAUAAAAUAUGAAUGUCUGAUAAAGAAAACAAACUACGUUGCUUUCCUCUGAUGCUCAGAGGGCUGGAUCAACAACACUUAGCUAACAGUGUCUGGCCUGUGUCAUCUAGAAAGAGAGAGAGACUGACAGACCAAAUGACAGACAGCCGGCCAUUGGAAUUCCCUGA
rnacentral:lncRNA from 1 species